rnacentral:rRNA from 1 species
CCUACGGGGGGCAGCAGUAAGGAAUAUUGGUCAAUGGAGGAAACUCUGAACCAGCCAUCCCGCGUGAAGGAUGAAGGGGCUCUGCCUUGUAAACUUCUUUUGUCUGGGGCGAAAAAGCUCGAUUUAUCGAGAACUGACGGUACCAGAAGAAUAAGCACCGGCUAACUCCGUGCCAGCAGCCGCGGUAAUACUGAGGGUGCAGGAGUCACUCGGAGUCAAUGGGUUGUAGGGGUGUGAGUAAGUCAGAGGUGAAAGGCUGUGGCUUAACCAUGGAAUUGCCAUUGAUACUGCAGAGCUUGAAUGAGGUUGAGGUUGGCGGAAUGUGACAUGUAGCGGUGAAAUGCUUAGAUAUGUCAUGGAACACCGAUUGCGAAGGCAGCUGACUGGACCUAUAUUGACGCUGAGGCACGAAAGCGUGGGGAGCGAACAGGAUUAGAGACCCUUGUAGUC